GACGAACGCUGGCGGCGUGCUUAACACAUGCAAGUCGAGCGGUAAGGCCCUUUCGGGGGUACACGAGCGGCGAACGGGUGAGUAACACGUGAGUAAUCUGCCCAUCACUUGGGGAUAACUACCGGAAACGGUGGCUAAUACCGAAUAUGACCACUUCCUGCAUGGGAUGGUGGUGGAAAGUUCCGGCGGGGAUGGAUGAGCUCGCGGCCUAUCAGCUUGUUGGUGGGGUAAUGGCCUACCAAGGCUUCGACGGGUAGCCGGCCUGAGAGGGUGACCGGCCACACUGGGACUGAGACACGGCCCAGACUCCUACGGGAGGCAGCAGUGGGGAAUAUUGGACAAUGGGCGAAAGCCUGAUCAAGCAACGCCGCGUGGGGGAUGACGGCCUUCGGGUUGUAAACCUCUUUCAGUGGGGACGAAGCGCAAGUGACGGUACCCACAGAAGAAGCACCGGCCAACUACGUGCCAGCAGCCGCCGUAA
rnacentral:rRNA from 1 species